GAUGAACGCUGGCGGCGUGCUUAACACAUGCAAGUCGAACGGAAAGGCCCAAGCUUGCUUGGGUACUCGAGUGGCGAACGGGUGAGUAACACGUGGGUGAUCUGCCCUGCACUUCGGGAUAAGCCUGGGAAACUGGGUCUAAUACCGGAUAGGACCACUUCCUGGAUGUUGUGGUGGAAAGUUUUUUCGGUGUGGGAUGAGCUCGCGGCCUAUCAGCUUGUUGGUGGGGUAAUGGCCUACCAAGGCGUCGGCGGGUAUCCGGCCUGGGAGGGUGUACGGCCACAUUGGGGCUGGGAUUCGGGCCAGACUCCUACGGGAGGCAGCAGUGGGGAAUAUUGCAAAAUGGGCGGGAGCCUGGUGGAAGGACGCCGCGGGGGGGAUGAAGGCCUUCGGGUUGUAAACCCCUUUCGCUAGGGGAGGAGGGGUUUGUGACGGUACCUGGAGAAGAAGCACCGGCUAACUACGUG
rnacentral:rRNA from 1 species